AACGAACGCUGGCGGCAGGCUUAACACAUGCAAGUCGAACGCCCCGCAAGGGGAGUGGCAGACGGGUGAGUAACGCGUGGGAAUCUACCCAGAUCUUCGGAACAACUGAGGGAAACUUCAGCUAAUACCGGAUACGCCCUACGGGGGAAAGAUUUAUCGGUUCUGGAUGAGCCCGCGUUGGAUUAGCUAGUUGGUGAGGUAACGGCUCACCAAGGCGACGAUCCAGAGCUGGUCUGAGAGGAUGAUCAGCCACACUGGGACUGAGACACGGCCCAGACUCCUACGGGAGGCAGCAGUGGGGAAUAUUGGACAAUGGGCGAAAGCCUGAUCCAGCCAUGCCGCGUGAGUGAUGAAGGCCUUAGGGUUGUAAAGCUCUUUCAGUGGGGAAGAUAAUGACGGUACCCACAGAAGAAGCCCCGGCUAACUUCGUGCCAGCAGCCGCAGUAAGAC
rnacentral:rRNA from 1 species